UUGUGGCCCAGUAGUAAAAGUUUGGAAUCAAGAGGUUUGCUCUCUCUGUGGUCUCAGGUUCAAGCCUUGUAGUUGCUCAUAUGAUGGCCACUGGAGGCUUACAUGGUCGUUAACUUCAGGGCCCGUGGGAUUAGUUGAGGUGUGGGCAAGCUGACCCGGACACCCACGUUAAACUAAAAAAAAAAUAUUAUCAUUACCACUCAUACUCUGAUCCCUGUCUGAAGUUUUUAUGUCCCAAUGGCAUGAUAUUUUCCAAAGUAUUAUUGUUGUCCUCCAAGCUCAAGUAUCAUCUCCAUCCUCUAAACUCAAGUCUUGUCAUUGUUCUCGACAUUCAAGCAUUGCCCACGGAUCGGCUCCAAGGGUGCUGACGAGAUGAGUACGUACGCCCUCCAGUGUGCACGUGCUCUCUAGUUUGCACUUGUCCUCCGAAGUAUCUUUGCCCUCCGAUGUGCACAUGCCUGCGUCCUCCGAUGUAUUUAUGCCCUCGAAUGUGUAUCCAUUCACCCUCCAAAGCAGCCUGAAUUAUUAGUCUAGCAAUGAAAGGCAGUUGGAUCCUAGCAGGCCAUUGGACCUCGAGACUCGCAGCUGCCAUACGAGCCAGGGAAAUGUUUCAAUUUACCUGGCUCAGCAGGUCCCAUCGGUGCAUUAAUAUUCUUGUCUAUUUCACCAAAAGAAAUCUUCUUUUCCUAGCUAGGAUAUUAUAAUUGAUAUUUUGUGAAAAAUACUCUCGAAGGCAUUACGUGUAUUCUUCGUCUCCUUACAUCAAUGAGUAUUAUUACAUAUCCAAGACUA